GUUGGAAUAGCUCAGUCGGCAGAACACGAGAGUCUCAAUCUCAGGGUUGUGGGUUCAAGCUCCUCGUUGGACG